rnacentral:rRNA from 1 species
GUCGAACGCUGGCGGCGUGCCUAAUACAUGCAAGUCGAGCGGAGCGGCGGACGGGUGAGUAAUGCCUAGGAAUCUGCCUGGUAGUGGGGGAUAACGUCCGGAAACGGGCGCUAAUACCGCAUACUAUCAGAUGAGCCUAGGUCGGAUUAGCUAGUUGGUGGGGUAAAGGCCUACCAAGGCGACGAUCCGUAACUGGUCUGAGUGGAUGAUCAGUCAAACUGGAACUGAGACACGGUCCAGACUCGUACGGGAGGCAGCAGUGGGGAAUAUUGGACAAUGGGCGAAAGCCUGAUCCAGCCAUGCCGCGUGUGUGAAGAAGGCCUUCGGGUUGUAAAGCACUUUCAGCGGGGAGGCGUUACCCGCAGAAGAAGCACCGGCUAACUCCGUGCCAGCAGCCGCGGUAAUAC